AGUGGCGGACGGGUGAGUAACGCGUGAGAAUCUGCCUUGGGGUCGGGGACAACCACUGGAAACGGUGGCUAAUACCGGAUAAGCCGAUUGGUGAAAGAUUUAUUGCCCGAAGAGGAGCUCGCGUCUGAUUAGCUAGUUGGUGAGGUAAGAGCUCACCAAGGCAGCGAUCAGUAGCUGGUCUGAGAGGACGAUCAGCCACAUUGGGACUGAGACACGGCCCAGACUCCUACGGGAGGCAGCAGUGGGGAAUUUUCCGCAAUGGGCGAAAGCCUGACGGAGCAAGACCGCGUGAGGGAGGAAGGCUCUUGGGUUGUAAACCUCUUUUCUCAGGGAAGAAGAUCUGACGGUACCUGAGGAAUCAGCCUCGGCUAACUCCGUGCCAGCAGCCGCGGUAAUACGGAGGAGGCAAGCGUUAUCCGGAAUUAUUGGGCGUAAAGCGUCCGCAGGUGGCGAUUCAAGUCUGCUGUCAAAGCACGGGGCUUAACUCCGUAAAGGCAGUGGAAACUGAAUAGCUAGAGUGCCGUAGGGGUAGAGGGAAUUCCCGGUGUAGCGGUGAAAUGCGUAGAGAUCGGGAAGAACAUCGGUGGCGAAAGCGCUCUACUGGACGGCAACUGACACUCAGGGACGAAAGCUAGGGGAGCGAAUGGGAUUAGAUACCCC
rnacentral:rRNA from 1 species